rnacentral:rRNA from 1 species
CCUACGGGUGGCAGCAGUGGGGAAUAUUGCGCAAUGGGCGAAAGCCUGACGCAGCGACGCCGCGUGAGGGAUGAAGGUCUUCGGAUCGUAAACCUCUGUCAGCAGGGAAGAACGGUCACUUUGCUAAUCAGCAGUGAAUUGACGGUACCUGCAAAGGAAGCACCGGCUAACUCCGUGCCAGCAGCCGCGGUAAUAAGGAGGGUGCGAGCGUUCAUCGGAAUUACUGGGCGUAAAGCGCUCGUAGGCGGUAUGUCAAGUCAAGGGUGAAAUCCCCGCGCUCAACGUGGGAACUGCCUUUGAAACUGGCAAACUGGAGUGUGUGAGAGGAUAGUGGAAUUCCAGGUGUAGGAGUGAAAUCCGUAGAUAUCUGGAGGAACAUCAGUGGCGAAGGCGACUAUCUGGAACAUAACUGACGCUGAGGAGCGAAAGCGUGGGUAGCAAACAGGAUUAGAUACCCUUGUAGUC